AUGUUAACAAAGCUUGUCCCAAAGACCCAUUUCCUUUGCCGCGCAUUGACCAGAUUGUUGACUCCACGGCCGGAUGUGACUUGCUUUCAUUUCUUGACGCAUACUCAGGAUACCAUCAGAUCUUCAUGGCAGAAGAGGAUGAGGAGAAGACCGCAUUCAUCACUCCAUGUGGCACGUACUGUUUUAUACGGAUGCCUUUCGGUUUAA
rnacentral:rRNA from 1 species